GUUUUUUUUCCGUGUCCGUCAUCGUCAUUGCGUCAUUUGAAAUUUAAAUUUUCUUAAGUGUUAAAUUUUAAUUUGUCAAUUGUCACUUGUGAAUUUGUCAACUGUCAUCAAUACGUUUUUGCUGUCAUUUGUAUACAUGUUAAAAGCUUGACUACCCACUAUGGAUUUAUUCACAGAAAAUAUGAUGAAAUAGCUUUACUUGAUCUUACUGAAACUAUGGUUGAACAGUUAUUCCCAAAAAUGGGUCAGCGCUCUAAGUUUUUAAAACAUUUGAAAAAAUUAAAAACAGAAAGAAAUUUACCAGAGGAAAAUUCAUCAGUUAUGACUCAACAUUCAGUAAUUGAUUGGGAUAACUUAGAUGUUGUAUUAUCAGAUGAAUUAGAACAUAAUAAGUAUAAAGUAUAUCAUUUGUAUUACCUAAUUGUAAUUAAAUAACAAUAAAAUAUAUUCUUACAUUUA